AAUUUAGUGGCCGAAUAACAGGUGUUAGUCUCUUAAAUUAAUUAUGAGAAAUAUAGUUA
rnacentral:tRNA from 1 species